rnacentral:rRNA from 1 species
GACGUAGGAGGCGAGCGUUGUCCGGAUUCAUUGGGCGUAAAGAGCACGCAGGCGGUUUGGCAAGUCGGAUGUGAAAACCCGAAGCUCAACUUCGGGCCUGCAUCCGAAACUGCCCGACUAGAGGUAGGUAGGGGAGAUCGGAAUUCCUGGUGUAGCGGUGAAAUGCGCAGGAUAUCAGGAGGAACACCGGUGGCGAAAGGCGGAUCUCUG